rnacentral:rRNA from 1 species
GAUGAACGCUGGCGGCGUGCCUAAUACAUGCAAGUCGAGCGAACAGACGAGGAGCUUGCUCCUCUGACGUUAGCGGCGGACGGGUGAGUAACACGUGGAUAACCUACCUAUAAGACUGGGAUAACUUCGGGAAACCGGAGCUAAUACCGGAUAAUAUAUUGAACCGCAUGGUUCAAUAGUGAAAGACGGUUUUGCUGUCACUUAUAGAUGGAUCCGCGCCGCAUUAGCUAGUUGGUAAGGUAACGGCUUACCAAGGCGACGAUGCGUAGCCGACCUGAGAGGGGGAGCGGCAACACUGGAACUGAGACACGGUCCAGACUCCUACGGGAGGCAGCAGUAGGGAAUCUUCAGCAAUGGGCGAAAGCCUGACGGAGCAACGCAGCGUGAGUGAUGAAGGUAUUCGGAUCGUAAAACUCUGUUAUUAGGGAAGAACAAAUGGGUAAGUAACUAUGCACGUCUUGACGGUACCUAAUCAGAAAGCCACGGCUAACUACGUG